rnacentral:rRNA from 1 species
AACCUCCGCAAUGUGAGAAAUCGCGACGGGGGGAUCCCAAGUGCCAUUCUUAACGGGAUGGCUUUUCAUUAGUGUAAAGAGCUUUUGGAAUAAGAGCUGGGCAAGACCGGUGCCAGCCGCCGCGGUAACACCGGCAGCUCUAGUGGUAACAAUUUUUAUUGGGCCUAAAGCGUCCGUAGCCGGUUUAAUAAGUCUCUGGUGAAAUCCUGUAGCUUAACUGUGGGAAUUGCUGGAGAUACUAUUAGACUUGAGACCGGGAGAGGUUAGAGGUACUCCCAGGGUAGAGGUGAAAUUCUGUAAUCCUGGGAAGACCGCCUGUUGCGAAGGCGUCUAACUGGAACGGUUCUGACGGUGAGGGACGAAAGUUAGGGGCGCGAACCGGGAUUAGAUACCCGGGUAGUCCUAACUGUAAACGAUGCGGACUUGGUGUGGGGGUGGCUUUGAGCUGCUCCAGUGCCGAAGGGAGCUGUUAAGUCCGCCGCCUGGGAAGUACGGUCGCAAGACUGAAACUUAAAGGAAUU